CCUACGGGAGGCAGCAGUAGGGAAUAUUGCGCAAUGGGCGCAAGCCUGACCCAGCAACGCCGCGUGAAGGAUGAAGGCUUUCGGGUUGUAAACUUCUUUUCUGAGAGACGAAGACAGUGACGUUACCUCAGUAAUAAGCCACGGCUAACUACGUGCCAGCAGCCGCGGUAAUACGUAGGUGGCAAGCGUUAUCCGGAUUUAUUGGGUGUAAAGGGCGUGUAGGCGGGAAAGCAAGUCAGAUGUGAAAACUCAGGGCUCAACCCUGAGCCUGCAUUUGAAACUGUUUUUCUUGAGUGCUGGAGAGGCAAGCGGAAUUCCGUGUGUAGCGGUGAAAUGCGUAGAGAUACGGAGGAACACCAGUGGCGAAGGCGGAUUGCUGGACAGUAACUGACGCUGAGGCGCGAAAGCGUGGGGAGCAAACAGGAUUAGAUACCCUGGUAGUC
rnacentral:rRNA from 1 species